AUCAUAUGGAAAGAGUUGGCCA
rnacentral:siRNA from 1 species